rnacentral:rRNA from 1 species
GUAGGCGGGUAGUUAAGUCAGAAGUGAAAUCCAAUAGCUCAACUAUUGAACUGCUUUUGAAACUGAUUACCUAGAAUAUGGGAGAGGUAGAUGGAAUUUCUGGUGUAGGGGUAAAAUCCGUAGAGAUCAGAAGGAAUACCGAUUGCGAAGGCGAUCUACUGGAACAUUAUUGACGCUGAGACGCGAAAGCGUGGGGAGCAAACAGGGUUAGAUACCCUGGUAGUCCACGCCCUAAACGAUGUACACUAGUUGUUGUGAGGCUCGACCUUGCAGUAAUGCAGUUAACACAUUAAGUGUACCGCCUGGGGAGUACGGUCGCAAGAUUAAAACUCAAAGGAAUAGACGGGGACCCGCACAAGCGGUGGAGCAUGUGGUUUAAUUCGACGAUACACGAAGAACCUUACCUGGACUUGACAUAGUAAGAACUUUCUAGAGAUAGAUUGGUGUCUGCUUGCAGAAACUUAUAUACAGGUGCUGCACGGCUGUCGUCAGCUCGUGUCGUGAGAUGUUGGGUUAAGUCCCGCAACGAGCGCAACCCUCGUCAUUAGUUGCUAACAGUUCGGCUGAGAACUCUAAUGAGACUGCCUACGCAAGUAGGAGGAAGGUGAGGACGACGUCAAGUCAUCAUGGCCCUUACGUCCAGGGCUACACACGUGCUACAAUGGGGUGUACAAAGAGCCGCAAUACGGUGACGUGGAGCAAAUCUCAAAAAUAUCUCCCAGUUCGGAUUGUAGUCUGCAACUCGACUACAUGAAGUUGGAAUCGCUA